AUUUUUUUCAAAUAAUAAGCUUCAUCCUGUAUUCAUGUCUCAGACAAAAUUCCAGUUGUCUUGAUGGACAGUUGGUUUGCAUACAUUUUUAAUAAUUUAUUUUUAUCAGUGAUCAAAAGAGGAUAAUUGUCAUUUCACUUACAGAAAAAAAUUGCCCAGCGAAAUGACGGAUGUUUCAACAGAAUCUGUAAAUCUGAUGAAAUUGGAAGAGAUGUGUUUUUCCUCUUCCUUAUUUUGUUCCAUUAAAAUACUUCAAGAACAUAAUAGAGGCAGUAAAAAUUAGAUCUUUUUAGUAGUGCCAUUGAGCUCAUUGUGAGCUGGAGGUGUAAUAGAAAUUGUGCCUUAGUGUUUUAGAUGAAUCUUGAUUUCACUCUUCUGUGACAGAAGAACAAGAACAGAUGCCGUUCUAUUUUCCUUACGAGGUCAUUCUUUCAAAGCAGUAAGCAUAACAGAGAUACAUAUCUGACGUGAGAAAGUGAAGCCUGCUAUGUGAAAGAGCAUUCAACUGAAUAGUCUCACCUAAAAGGCCAGGUUGUCAACCCAGUGCACCCUCAGACUAACCAUCCUGGGCCCUGAAGGUAUGACAGGGGAAAUGAAGAGGAGUUCCCUCCAACACAGAAAGCACCACAUUGGCAGGUCGAGACUGUGACCUCUACUACAGCCCGCAGGCAGCAAUAACUCCUGUUGCUUAUGAGACAUCAGUUCAGUGGCAGAACUGACUGCUACUUUAGCCAUGGGGUAACAGUAAGUCCUGUGGAGCUUUAGACCCCAGGUCCCAAGCAAGGGGGCUGGUGUAGCCACAGGCAUGAAUUCAGAAAACAUGCCCUUCCACCUUUUUUUCCUUAAGUCUUUCCCCCAUGUAAUGUACUAGUGUAAUCAGAUCUUCUGUGCCUCACUGUGCAUUUGUGUGUGUGCAUCUGUGAAUACAAAACCAUGCAAGAAUUCAUCUAAAAAGGAGUGUAGGUAAAGACAAAUUAAUACUAGCUACAGGAUUACUAGCUAGUAAUUUGGAUCAUACCACUAACUACUUCGAAAGGAACUUGGGUAAGACUCCUUACCACUGUGACAAUUCAACAGCCAGACACUUAGUUAAGAACAACAUUCCUGCUGUCCAAAGUAGAAGAGGAUCCACCCUUCCUCAGCUGAAUGCAGAGUGGAAGAGGAUAAAUGGCAUAGAACUGGCCAACAUCAGAGGACGUUCUACAUCAAGACACAUUCCUGGAUGAGUUGUACUGCCUGAGAAGAGUAAAAAUCUCGUUAAGAGAGGAAAGGAUCUAGCAUCUCUCUUUGUUGAGAUACAGUUUAUAGAAGAGUAACAGAUGAUAAGAGAAGAAAAGAAGGAAAGGAAACUGAAAAUCUGGCAUGACAAAAAAAAAAAAAAGAUCAUUAAGUAAAGGACAAUAAAGAGACAAAAAGUCAUCUUCUUAACA
rnacentral:lncRNA from 1 species